rnacentral:rRNA from 1 species
UCUGCCGUUAAAGAAUGGAGCUUAACUCCAUAGGAGCGGUGGAAACUGCAAGACUAGAGUACAGUAGGGGUAGCAGGAAUUCCCAGUGUAGCGGUGAAAUGCGUAGAUAUUGGGAAGAACAUCGGUGGCGAAAGCGUGCUACUGGGCUGAAACUGACACUGAGGGACGAAAGCUAGGGUAGCGAAAGGGAUUAGAUACCCCUGUAGUCCUAGCCGUAAACGAUGGAUACUAGGCGUGGCUUGUAUCGACCCGAGCCGUGCCGAAGCUAACGCGUUAAGUAUCCCGCCUGGGGAGUACGCACGCAAGUGUGAAACUCAAAGGAAUUGACGGGGGCCCGCACAAGCGGUGGAGUAUGUGGUUUAAUUCGAUGCAACGCGAAGAACCUUACCAAGGCUUGACAUCCCUGGAAUCCUGCGGAAACGUGGGAGUGCCUUAGGGAGCCAGGAGACAGGUGGUGCAUGGCUGUCGUCAGCUCGUGUCGUGAGAUGUUGGGUUAAGUCCCGCAACGAGCGCAACCCUCGUUUUUAGUUGCCAUCAUUAAGUUGGGCACUCUAGAGAGACUGCCGGUGACGAACCGGAGGAAGGUGGGGAUGACGUCAAGUCAUCAUGCCCCUUACGCCUUGGGCUACACACGUACUACAAUGGUCGGGACAACGGGCAGCGAGCUCGCGAGAGUAAGCGAAUCCCAUCAAACCCGGCCUCAGUUCAGAUUGCAGGCUGCAACUCGCCUGCAUGAAGGAGGAAUCGCUAGUAAUCGCAGGUCAGAAUACUGCGGUGAAUUCGUUCCCGGGCCUUGUACACACCGCCCGUCACACCAUGGGAGCUGGUCACGCCCGAAGUCGUUACUCUAACCUUAGGGAGGAGGGCGCCGAAGGCAGGGCUAGUGACUGGGGUGAAGUCGUAACAAGGCAGCCGUACCGGAAGGUGUGGCUGGAUCACCUCCUUUAAGGGAGACCUUUACCCCUUCAUCUUGAAAGCAAAGUGCAAAUAGAGAGAAGUUGGUCAACCAAAAGGUCGAGCAAGGGAUUAACCGAGAGGUUAAAGAGUAGAAGUCUUUCAAACUAUUGCCUAGGUGAGGUAAAAGGCAAGGGCUAUUAGCUCAGCUGGUUAGAGCGCACCCCUGAUAAGGGUGAGGUCUCUGGUUCAAGUCCAGAAUGGCCCACCUAACCAAAAAAGCCAAAGAGAAGGAUAAAUCCUUCAGCAUCCUGUCUGAUGAGAGUCAGAGGGAAUGCUGGAUGUAGGUCCAGUAAGGACCUUGAAAACUGCAUAAAGAAAAGAGAAAGCAGGGAAAAUCUUGCUCUUACUAACCGUUUUGAUAUUAACCACAAGGCUUUUGGCUGAGUGUGAGACUGAAGGGCGGUGAAGGUAGGAGGAAAGAUAAUCCUAGUUAGCAAAAAGAAGAUCUUAAAAAGGUCAAGCUACAAAGGGCUAACGGUGGAUACCUAGGCACACAGA